GAGUUUGAUCCUGGCUCAGGACGAACGCUGGCGGCGUGCUUAACACAUGCAAGUCGAGCGAUGAAAUUCUCUUCGGAGAAUGGAUUAGCGGCGGACGGGUGAGUAACACGUGGGUAACCUGCCUUAUAGUGGGGGAUAGCCUUUCGAAAGGAAGAUUAAUACCGCAUAAUAUUGUAGUUUCGCAUGAAACAACAAUUAAAGAUUUAUCGCUAUAAGAUGGACCCGCGGCGCAUUAGCUAGUUGGUGGGGUAACGGCCUACCAAGGCGACGAUGCGUAGCCGACCUGAGAGGGUGAUCGGCCACAUUGGGACUGAGACACGGCCCACACUCCUACGGGAGGCAGCAGUGGGGAAUAUUGCACAAUGGGGGAAACCCUGAUGCAGCAACGCCGCGUGAGUGAUGACGGUCUUCGGAUUGUAAAGCUCUGUCUUUAGGGACGAUAAUGACGGUACCUAAGGAGGAAGCCACGGCUAACUACGUGCCACCAGCCGCGGUAAUACGUAGGUGGCAAGCGUUGUCCGGAUUUACUGGGCGUAAAGGGAGCGUAGGCGGAUUUUUAAGUGGGAUGUGAAAUACCCGGGCUUAACCUGGGUGCUGCAUUCCAAACUGGAAGUCUAUAGUGCAUGAGGGGAAAGCGGAAUUCCUAGUGUAGCGGUGAAAUGCGUAU
rnacentral:rRNA from 1 species